AUGUCGUUCCUAGUUUUCACUUUGGGACACGUGUGGUGGUGGGACCCACUAGUGUUUUUGUUGUAUCGAGGGAGAGAAAAACAUUGGGAGUCCCUAAUGCCAGACUUGGGUAAAUACCACCGGUGCUUUUAUUUAGGCGAGCGAUACGCGCCGGCGGACCGGCCGAAAGCCCAGCCGGUCGCGCGCGAGCCCUCCGAUUUGGCUUCCUGCAGCCGUCGGAUGCCUUCUUUCCCAAUCGUUUUUUUUCUCUGGCUUGGUCAACGCAACAUUUCGUGUCGGAUGCCUUCUUUCCCAAAAUUUUCUUCCCUGGCUUCGUCAACGCAGCAGUUCGUGCCCUCUAGUCUUCACGUGCGCGCUCCGGCGCGAUAG
rnacentral:rRNA from 1 species